CAUCUGAUGAUGAAUUCAUAAUUUGUUUACACAAAGAGGGGCCACCUAAAGCCCAUCUAUAGAAGAUGGCAAAUAUUUCCAGGCCCUCUUCUCAUCAAGUUCAUGAUCCUUUGUGUUUUAAAUAGAUGUCAUUGGACAAUUGUAACAUAGUGCAAUAAACUACCUAGGGUAUUUCUGUAAAUACCACAGGUUUGCAGGCAAAAUUGUUAGGGAAGUGAUGCUUGGCCUGACUCAUGAAGGGUGGGGUUUCUGAAGAGGGUAAGGAAGAAGGGAGCUCAUUAAAUGUUACCUACUAUUAUUAUCAUUUAUCAGACUUAAGUCAGACAAGGUUCAAGUCACAACUCCACUAGAAAAGUCAGUUUCCUCAGCUAUCAUCUUGCCCUAUUUGGUUCUGCAAAGAAGAAAUAAGAUGAUUUAAGCCCACACUGAAAUACUUGACACAUAGUUCAGCUCUUCCUAAAUGCUCUUUCUCUUCUCAGCUCUAAUUUUUAUUUUUUGGAAUGACCUUCUUCUCUCCAUUUCCAUUCUAGAAAAAUCCUACUCAUUAUUCAAGUUGUACUUGAAACAUUGCCUGUUCUGUGAACUACUAUUUAUCUAAAAAACACAAUCUUCUUUCCUUUGAAAUGCUGUUGAAGUUCAUCUUGACCUCCGUAAUACUUGUCUCUUGGUUGGCACAUGUUUGCUGAAAUGAAUUAAAUUGCCCCCCAUUCUGAUCCCUGUUCCUAGUCUUACUGUCUGUCAACAUUUUUUUUUUUUUUUUUUUUUUUUUUUUUUUAAUUCUUGCUAUCUGUUUAGCCAGUUUUAUGACCACACCAAGGCAAGUCUCUAGACUUUUUUUAAAAAAGGCUUGUCUGGUGGUCUGCACAACUGAAUUUCUAUGUGUCUUUGAUCCCAAAGUUCAUCAUGUCCCAUUACAAACUUGUCUUCCUCUCUCUCUGUGAUAUGGAUCAACUGAGCCCCUUCUCUGUAUCAGACAGGGUCGUAGGUGCAUGGGAUAUGUUCAUGAAUAAAACAGUCCUUGUUCCUGGUCCCUGCUUUCAAGGAGCUUACACUCCAGUUGGUGGAGACAGUCAACAAAUUGUAACAUGAGAACUCUUUUGAUACUGCAAUAGAAAAAUAUGGACAGGCUUGUCCUAGGCCUAGUCUGUUCCUUGUCCUGCUCAUUUAACCUCUCCUCCUACCUUGUCGACCUCUCCACUCUCACCCCAGUGUCUGUAUGUUCAAGUUACUAUCCUUUGAGGCCAAGAUCCAAUGCUAUCUUCUUCAUAAACAUAAGGCAAGAUAGAGAAAGAAGUAUAUACCAUGUAAGCAUACAAAUAGACUUGGGUUUUUCUUUUAAUUUUUUAAAAUUUUAUGGCUGCACUCAAGGCAUAUGGAGGUGCCAGGGAUUGAGUCUGACCUGCAGCUGUGACCUAUGAUGUAGCUGUGGCAAUGCUGGAUCCUUUAACCCACUGCACCAGGCUGGGGAUGGAACCUGCACCUCCGCAGUGACCUGAGCCAUUGGAGUCAAAUUCUUAACCCACUGGUCCAUGGAAGGAGAUCCUACAAACGGAGUUUUAUGCACAUAUUCUCACCUAUGCUACAGGCUCCUGAGGACAAGGUCUCAUAAACUUUAUCUUAAUAGCACCAAGGGCUAAGCCAGAAAAGGAACUACUCUUAAUGAGAUGAACAAAGCAUCCCCUCCCUUGUCCGGAAAAGACUGUACUUAGGGAACCCUUACCCAUGCUCCUCAUGGAAAAUCCUCUUCUGUUUCCACCUCCAUUCGGGAAUAGAACCUUACACAAAGGGUAAAUAAACACUCACAAUCCAGAGAUGAUAAGAACGUUUGUAGAGCAUUCUACAUCACAAUCCUCAUGAUCACUAAGGUUGUGUACACCAAGGACUCUGCCAUGAUAACAUCCUAAUCCAGAAAGACUUCACGUUUUUUCAUAUUGUUAAUGCUGUUGUUCUGGCCAUAAUAGAGGUUUACCUGGAUUACACGCUAUUGAAUGAUACUCUGCAUUUCUAAACCCACCACUCCACUGCACAGAUACCAUGACCAUAAAGUGCAAUUUACCAAAGAACAUCUCAAGUUGUUUCUGGGAGCCCUGGAUCAGGUCAACACUGAGCACCAGCAGUAAAGAAGCAGAAACUUUCAGUCUGUUGGUCUGGGACAUACACACAUUUAUUCCUUCUUCGCACAGAUCUUGCCACCUUUCACCAUAGCCUUGGCUUUUAUCUCAGGCGCCAUGUGUAAACAAAGCCACGUGCUGUGCUACGAGGAGUGCUGAACGUGUACACAUGUAUUUAUUUGGGAGCUGUAAGAGCUGCAGGGUUUUAAUUACCCUGAGCUGGUAGAGAUCAAUUUGAGAAACAAACAUAUUAGUGAAAAACCAAGCACUCUUGUGCUGCCAGAGGAUCACAACUUGAAAUCAUAGCAUCCCAGAGUUUGAGAGCUGGAGGAAAUGGCGGAGAGUGGGGGGACUGAGCCCCUCAUGUUGCAAAUUGGAAAACUGAACCCCAAAAGUCAAAACAGCAUGAAGCAUAGUUCCAAUCUUGGGUUCUGCCAUGAGACAGACCUUGCUGAUACCCCAGAUACACAGCUUACCAAAUAACUUUGCUAAGCCACUCUGCAUUUCUGGGCCUCAGUGUCCUCAUCUGGAAAAUGGUGACUAUGAUAGUUGUGAGGAUUAAAUGGGAUAAAGGAUGUACAGUGUGCUCAGUACAAUACCAGACCUAGUGAUCAAUAAUGCUAACUUUUAUCACUAUCAGCAACAGCAUCACCACCAUUAUACAAGGUCAGACAGGUUGUUGGUAACUGCUCUUGCCUAAUCUAAUACUCCCUUACACGUAACUGGGUUUGUUUGGAGGCAUAGUGAUAAAUAAUAUUUUAUAAGUCUUGUCCCAGUAAUCACAUGGUCCCAAUUAGCUUCCAAAUCAAGCUUUACAAGUUCAGUGUUCUCCAGUGUUCAUUGAAUCUUCCAAUAAUUGUGCAUUCUACAUUGUCACAGUUCUGGAAUUGCAGUUCGCUUAGCAUGAAUAUAUAUUCUUGUCCUAAAUGUGUAGUCACUCAGGAACUAUUAAUGAUUCACCAAGACAUUUUACUUUGAAAAGCACAGAAUCUCUUAGGAUAUUUGACUAGAAUUCUUUUACCCUUCUCAAAGGCCCUAAAUUAACAAAACUUGAUGCUUUUUGUGGCUUGAUCUAAAUAGAUAAUCCGUGACUCAGAAAAAGAUGAUUUUAGAGCAUGACAUGCAAAUACAGAAUUCAUGGAUGUUGUUUAAAAUCUGGGCCCUUUUCCUUGACUGCAUUUACUAUAAUUAGAAGACUGGCCGUUCUUACAAGGGGCUACAAACACACCACAGGCAAUAGGCAAUGUCCUAUGUGAGGCGCCAGAGAAAAGAUGAAUACUUUCUAUUGAGUGGCUGGAAGCUGUCAGCACCCAACACAACUUGCUGUCU
rnacentral:lncRNA from 1 species